rnacentral:tRNA from 1 species
GAGGGUAGAGCUCAGUAGUAGAGCACAUGCUUUUAACAUGCAUGAGGUCCUGGGUUCAAUCCCCAGUACCUCCA